GGACAGUUAAUAUGUACUCUCUCUCUCUUUCCCCCUCUCUCUAUUUAUAUAUAAUGUCCCGACUCUCUCUCUUUCUCUGUCUCUCUCUCUAUAUAAUAUAUAUCAUCUAUCUAUCUAUCUAUCGAGAUAGAGAGAAAGAGGGGAUACAUUUUAUAUAAAUAGAGAGAGAGAAAAAGAGAGAGAGAGUACAUGUUAACUG
rnacentral:miRNA from 1 species